GCAAGAGAGACGAACAGACCAGAUCUGAGGCUCUCAGAUGCACCAGCAGGUCCUGCAUUAGCUUUCUUGGGUCAUGCCUGCCUGCCUGCCUGCCUGUUUUCUGAGGAGGAAGGGCUUUUUUUGACAGGUACCGCUGGGGCACCUGCUUCCCUCUUAUUGAGACUUCAACUGCUCCCUGUGCUUGAAUUUGUGACGUUAUGUUCUUGGGAGCAGUGCCCACCGCAGGGGUGAAGUCAGCUACUGGAAGGUGUUUCAGGUAACUCACCAAAUACACUGAAGUCCUCCAGACAGAUGACAUGAGAGGAGGGAAGGAUAAUGAGAGGAAAAAUGAAAAACAAGAGAGAUGAGGAUUAUCACGUCCCCUGGAAUCACUGUACCCAUUAGACUUUGCAACCAGUGUGCUCAGCCCUGCGUGUGGGCCUUCCAGAUCUGGUGAGAAGUUUUGAGUGGAGCCAGAGGCUCAGCUGUCUUUCCAGCCUGCGGGGUCAACAGUCGGAGAGUGUGGAAGGUGAGAGUCGGCACAGGAGGAAACAGGGUAGCCGGUGAUAGUGUCUGGAUCAGCAUCACAAAAGAGGAGGGAAUAGAUGAGGACACCAGCGAUCUGAAACCA
ensembl:lncRNA